rnacentral:rRNA from 1 species
GACGAACGCUGGCGGCGUGCUUAACACAUGCAAGUCGAGCGGUAAGGCCCUUUCGGGGGUACACGAGCGGCGAACGGGUGAGUAACACGUGGGUGACCUGCCCUCAGCUCUGGGAUAAGCCUGGGAAACUGGGUCUAAUACUGGAUAUGACUCCACGGUGCAUGUCGUGGGGUGGAAAGCCUUGUGCGGCUGAGGAUGGGCCCGCGGCCUAUCAGCUUGUUGGUGGGGUGAUGGCCUACCAAGGCGACGACGGGUAGCCGGACCUGAGAGGGCGACCGGCCACACUGGGACUGAGACACGGCCCAGACUCCUACGGGAGGCAGCAGUGGGGAAUCUUGCGCAAUGGGCGAAAGCCUGACGCAGCGACGCCGCGUGAGGGAUGACGGCCU